rnacentral:rRNA from 1 species
GACGAACGCUGGCGGCGUGCUUAACACAUGCAAGUCGAACGGAAAGGCCCUGCUUGCGGGGUGCUCGAGUGGCGAACGGGUGAGUAACACGUGGGUGAUCUGCCCCUUACUUUGGGAUAAGCCUGGUAAACUGGGUCUAAUACUGGAUAGGACCAUGCUGUAGGUGGUGUGGUGGAAAGAUUAGUUUCGGUAAGGGAUGAGCUCGCGGCCGAUCAGCUUGUUGGUGGGGUAAUGGCCUACCAAGGCGUCGACGGGUAGCCGGCCUGAGAGGGUGGACGGCAACAUUGGGACUGAGAUACGGCCCAGACUCCUACGGGAGGCAGCAGUGGGGAAUAUUGCACAAUGGGAGCAAGCCUGAUGCAGCGACGCCGCGUGGGGGAUGACGGCCUGCGGGUUGUAAACUCCUUUCAGCCAUGACGAAGCGCUUGUGGUGACGGUAGUGGUAGAAGAAGCACCGGCUAACUACGUG